rnacentral:rRNA from 1 species
UGGGGAAUAUUGCACAAUGGGCGGAAGCCUGAUGCAGCGACGCCGCGUGGGGGACGAAGGCCUUCGGGUUGUAAACUCCUUUCGACAGGGACGAAGCUUUUGUGACGGUACCUGUAUAAGAAGCACCGGCUAACUACGUGCCAGCAGCCGCGGUAAUACGUAGGGUGCGAGCGUUGUCCGGAAUUACUGGGCGUAAAGAGCUCGUAGGUGGUUUGUCGCGUCGUCUGUGAAAUUCCGGGGCUUAACUCCGGGCGUGCAGGCGAUACGGGCUGACUUGAGUGCUGUAGGGGAGACUGGAAUUCCUGGUGUAGCGGUGAAAUGCGCAGAUAUCAGGAGGAACACCGAUGGCGAAGGCAGGUCUCUGGGCAGUAACUGACGCUGAGGAGCGAAAGCAUGGGUAGCGAACAGG